UGCGGUUAAAAAGCUCGUAGUUGGAGUUCUGCCAGGUGCCGCCUGUCCGCCCCAGUGGUGAGUACGUGGCGCGCAUUUGGCCCUUUCGAGGGGAGCGUAUUGCACUUAACUGUGUGGUGCGGGAUCCUUGACUUUUACUUUGAGGAAAUAAGAGUGUUCCAAGCAGGCUCUCGUCGUGCAUAGCUCAGCAUGGAAUAAUAGCAUUGGAUCUCGAUUCCAAACUGUUGGUUGUAGGAAACGAGAUAAUGAUGAAGAGGGAUAGUUGGGGGCAUUCGUAUUUAACUGUCAGAGGUGAAAUUCUUGGAUUUGUUAAAGACGAACUACUGCGAAAGCAUCUGCCAUGGAUGUUUUCAUUGAUCAAGAACGAAAGUUAGGGGAUCGAAGACGAUCAGAUACCGUCCUAGUCUUAACUAUAAACCAUGCCGGCUAGAGAUCGGAGGUUGUUCGUUUUGUGACGCCUUCAGCAUCUUGAGAGAAAUCAAAGCCUUUGGGUUCCGGGGGGAGUAUGGUCGCAAGGCUGAAACUUAAAGGAAUUGACGGAAGGGCACCACCAGGAGUGGAGCCUGCGGCUAAAUUUGACUCAACACGGGGAAACUCACCAGGUCCAGACUGGGUAAGGAUGUACCGAUUGACAGCUC
rnacentral:rRNA from 1 species